GAUGAAGAACGCAGCGAAACGCGAUAGUUAAUGUGAAUUGCAGAAUUCAGUGAAUCAUCGAAUCUUUGAACGCACAUUGCGCCCGCCAGUAUUCUGGCGGGCAUGCCUGUUCGAGCGUCAUUUCAACCCUCAAGCACAGCUUGGUGUUGGGACUCGCGUUAAUUCGCGUUCCCCAAAUUGAUUGGCGGUCACGUCGAGCUUCCAUAGCGUAGUAGUAAAACCCUCGUUACUGGUAAUCGUCGCGGCCACGCCGUUAAACCCCAACUUCUGAAUGUUGACCUCGGAUCAGGUAGGAAUACCCGCUGAACUUAAGCAUAUCAAUAAGCGGAGGA
rnacentral:misc_RNA from 1 species